rnacentral:rRNA from 1 species
UGCAGUCGAGCGAAUGGAUUAAGAGCUUGCUCUUAUGAAGUUAGCGGCGGACGGGUGAGUAACACGUGGGUAACCUGCCCAUAAGACUGGGAUAACUCCGGGAAACCGGGGCUAAUACCGGAUAACAUUUUGAACCGCAUGGUUCGAAAUUGAAAGGCGGCUUCGGCUGUCACUUAUGGAUGGACCCGCGUCGCAUUAGCUAGUUGGUGAGGUAACGGCUCACCAAGGCGACGAUGCGUAGCCGACCUGAGAGGGUGAUCGGCCACACUGGGACUGAGACACGGCCCAGACUCCUACGGGAGGCAGCAGUAGGGAAUCUUCCGCAAUGGACGAAAGUCUGACGGAGCAACGCCGCGUGAGUGAUGAAGGCUUUCGGGUCGUAAAACUCUGUUGUUAGGGAAGAACAAGUGCUAGUUGAAUAAGCUGGCACCUUGACGGUACCUAACCAGAAAGCCACGGCUAACUACGUGCCAGCAGCCGCGGUAAUACGUAGGUGGCAAGCGUUAUCCGGAAUUAUUGGGCGUAAAGCGCGCGCAGGUGGUUUCUUAAGUCUGAUGUGAAAGCCCACGGCUCAACCGUGGAGGGUCAUUGGAAACUGGGAGACUUGAGUGCAGAAGAGGAAAGUGGAAUUCCAUGUGUAGCGGUGAAAUGCGUAGAGAUAUGGAGGAACACCAGUGGCGAAGGCGACUUUCUGGUCUGUAACUGACACUGAGGCGCGAAAGCGUGGGGAGCA